rnacentral:lncRNA from 1 species
GGGCUGAUGUGAGCAUGAUUGGGCAGUUUGGUGUUGGUUUCUACUCAGCUUACUUGGUUGCUGAGAAGGUCAUUGUUACCACAAAGCACAAUGAUGAUGAGCAAUAUGUCUGGGAGUCCCAAGCUGGUGGAUCAUUCACUGUGACUAGGGACACCUCUGGUGAAAGCCUUGGCAGGGGUACUAAGAUUACUCUCUUCCUGAAGGAGGAUCAACUUGAGUAUCUUGAGGAGCGCCGUCUGAAAGACUUGAUCAAGAAGCACUCUGAGUUCAUUAGCUACCCAAUCUCUCUGUGGGUUGAGAAAACCACCGAGAAGGAGAUCUCUGAUGAUGAGGAUGAGGAAGAGAAGAAGGAUGAAGAGGGGAAAGUUGAAGAUGUUGAUGAGGAGAAGGAGAAAGAAGAAAAGAAGAAAAAGAAGAUCAAGGAAGUGUCUCAUGAGUGGUCUUUGGUGAACAAGCAGAAGCCCAUCUGGAUGCGGAAGCCUGAGGAAAUCACCAAGGAAGAGUAUGCUGCUUUCUAUAAG